GUGGGGAAUAUUGGACAAUGGGCGCAAGCCUGAUCCAGCCAUGCCGCGUGAGUGAUGAAGGCCUUCGGGUUGUAAAGCUCUUUAGCCGAUGAUUAUAAUGACUGUAGUCGGAAAAUAAGCCCCGGCUAACUUCGUGCCAGCAGCCGCGGUAAUACGAAGGGGGCGAGCGUUAUUCGGAAUCCCUGGGCGUAAAGCGUGCGUAGGCGGCUUUGCAAGUUGGGAGUGAAAGCCCAGGGCUCAACCCUGGAAUUGCUCUCAAAACUGCAAGGCUCGAAUUCGGGAGAGGAUAGCGGAAUUGUCAGUGUAGCAGUGAAAUGCGUAGAUAUUGACAGGAACACCAGUGGCGUAAGCGGCUAUCUGGACCGAUAUUGACGCUGAGGCACGAAAGCGUGGGGAUCAAACAGGAUUAGAUACCCUAGUAGUCC
rnacentral:rRNA from 1 species